GGAGGUGUUUCCUCGAAGCAGGGAAAAGUCAAGGGGGCAGAGACCUCACCAGCCACCGGGAGGCGGCACUCGUGUAAACCAGACCCCUUGUCCUCAUGACCAGACAGAAGAAGAAAGUAAAGAGGAAUGGACUUGGCUCAAGGAUGUGGAUACAGGUCAGUGGCAGCCCAGGCACAGACAGCUACAGCAUUUUGGUAACAUAUGGCAUUGCCGUGUCCUCUUCCUCCAGGAAGCCUACUAGAAUUAGGAAUGAGCCUGUCACCCUCCACACCUGGUGGCCUCAGCCAUGGCAGAGAGAGAAAGGAUGAACGAGAUGUGCCUGAGUACCAGCCACAGCUCACAGCCCUGAGUGACAGAGAGGAAGGAGGAGGAAUGAGAGGGGCAG
rnacentral:lncRNA from 1 species